CGGACGUUAUAUACCCGUUAUUGGCAACAGUGGCCAUUAUUUGCUGCAACACCCAUAUGAUUUUUUGUUUGAUUGGAUUUUUCCUACUUUUUAAGUCAAUUAUUGACUGAAAAUAAUUGAUUAUCUGCUAUAAAAUAAUCUAUUUUCAAACAGAAACACAGUGAAAUCAUUUUUUUUUGUGUUCUUCACAGUUUCGAAAAAAUUGGCAAAAGUACAGAUUGUGGCCUCGUUUUUUGUUUUUUCUCAAUCAAAACCUGGGCCUUUUAUAGAUCACAUAGUUAGUUAGACGAUUGUAGUCCAAAUUUCAACGAAAAUUCGAGAUUUGGCGCUCGAUUUUUACAAAUUAGGGCAUCGUCUCAAUUUUUCUGUACUGUGCUGAAAAAAAUCCGGGCUUCAAGCUACUUCAAAGGAUGGGCCGUUAAGGAAAACAUUUGAGGAAAGCACUAUAUAAUUGAAGGUUUGAGGCUGAAGUGAAGCAAAUGUGGGAAUAUAAGUGUAAAGUCCGGCAGGAGAACAAAAAACGAGGGUAAAGCAUUCAAAAGGGAGUCUAUCUCUAAGACUAGGAUUGAAGGGGAUUCUGUCUCUAAAACUAGGGUACACAAGAUAUGAAGUGGAAAUUACUUGCUCUAACAGGUAAUUUAUCUCUUCUUUCUCUAAAUCUCUCUUUCUUCUCUCUUCUCUCCCAUCGCCUCUUCUUGUUAUUUCCCCAAUUUUCUCUCUCCUCAUCCGUUGAUCUCUCUCCUCUCCCAGCCACCAAUUUUUUCAAACCCUAAAACCCUUUCUUUCUCGCACAAGAAGCAACAAGAGAGAGCAUCUUCAUUAUAAUUGGCAACUAUUUGUUCAGGUAACAAUUUUUUUUUCUUUGGGUACGUCAUUUCCUCUUGGAGUUGGGUUUUCUAUAGAUUCUAUCUUUGUUAGAUUAAACACCAUAAUACUCUCUUUCUCUCUCUUUCUCUCUCUCUCUCUCUCUCUCUCUCUCUCUCUCUCUCUCUCUCACACACACACACACAGACUCUCAUAAAUAGCCUUCAAAACUCCCAAAUUCUAUAAUUAAUUUACAGAGUGUUGGAGAUUUGAAUACCCGAAACCCCAAUUUAACCGAUCAUUGAAUAUCACACACUCAGUACCAAAUAUGUAAAAUCGAUAAUCCAAUAAUAAGCUCAAGGAUCGUGUGCAACAAUUUAAGACAAUAAAUUAGAGAUGGAAAGCAUAGUCAUGAAAGAAAAUUAGAGAGGCAAACCACAACACGAAUUUAACGUGGUUCACCCCCUAGGGCUACGUCCACAGGCAAGCCGACAAGUAUUCCACUAUCAAAAGAAGGAAUUUACAAGGGGAUACAAUGUUACAUCAAAAGGAGAAAAUUUGUGAUAAAAAAUCACUGAAUACCUUCUUGUGAUCAUUCAAAAAUCACAAUUUACCUCGCUUCACUUCGAAUGACCGAAGAACAUGAGCAACACAAGCUCAUACUAUUUCUCCCAAAAAUAGGACGAGAAAAUCCUUCUUCACCGCCUUCCCUUCUCAACAUAACCAAAGGAAGCCCUAGCCCAUUUUCUCGAGAGAGAGGAGUUCAAACCAAGAAGAAUCGUAUAACCCAAAAAUCCCAUUUUGCCUUUUAUACAAGCCAGCUAAUUGUAGUGACAAAAAAGGCCCCAAACAAAUGGUAAAAGACCAAAGCAUCCAAAAGGUGAUUUUUCUAUCACCAUUCAACAAUCUCCACCUUGAUAGUAAAUCACCUAUAUGCCGUACCGAUAAUCCUUUUUUACUUCUUCAUGAAGCUUAGAGAAAUUAGGCUUCAUUCGAACUUCUCUACUGGAACCGUCUUCAUGAGCAUAUCCGUUACAUUUUCCUUGGUUCAAACUUCCACCAACCGAACCAAACCAUCUUCAACAACUUGUCGAACAUGAUGGUCUAUGGGCUUAGAAUUGAUACCCAAUUCUCUCUAAAGGCCUAGAAGCCAAAUUGCUUCUUUGCUUGCUUCAGUUGCCACCAUGUAUUCCGCCUCAGUGGUAGGCAAUGUCACCGUUGAUUGAAGCUUAGACAUCCAACUUACCGGUCCAUUUCCAAACUUGAAAACAUAGCCGGUCGUUGAUCUUCCUCUAUCAAGAUCACCGGCAUAAUUUGCAUCAACAUAGCCUUGAAUGUGCCCCGAGCCUUUGGUAAAUGUCAUGGCAUAAUCACUCGUGCCUCUCAAAUAAUAAAGCACCCAUUUUUACCUUCCCAAUGAGCUUUUCCGAGAUUUGUCGUAAAAUGACUCAAGACACCUAUCGAAUAUGCUAUGUCCGGUUUGGUACACACCAUGGCAAACAUUAGGCUUCCCACAACACUUGCAUAUGGCACCUUAGCCAUAUUCUCUUUUUCAUCCGCGGUCUUCUGAUUUUUCUUGGAAGACAACUUAAAAUGAGGAGCUAAUGGAGUCUUCACCGGCUUUGUCUUGCUCGUGUCAAACUUUUCAAGCAUAUUUUCCACGCCCACUCCAUCGAUCUCUUUGGAUUUCAAUUCCAAGCAUUUGUUUUACCGGGCCGAGAUCUUUCAUUUCAAAACUCUUGCUCAAAGAUGCCUUGAGCUCAUCAAUCCUAGUCUUUUCCUUCCAUCCCAAAAGCAUAUCAAUAUACAAGACUAAGAUUAAAUAAGAACCAUCAUAAAAAAACUUCAAUAAGCAUAAUGGUCAUAACCACUCCUAUGGUAUCCAAGACCAAUCAUGAACAUGUCAAAAGUCUUGUACCAUUUUUUUGAUGCUUGCAUGAGUCCAUAUAUGGAUUUCUUCAACUUGCACACUAACCUUUCUUUUCUUUUUUUAAGAAAUCCUUCCGGUUGUUGCAUGUACACUUCUUCAAGUUCACCAUGUAAAAAUAGCGUUUUUACAUCCAUUGUUCAAGUUCCAAAUCAUGCAAUGCAACAAGCCCAAGCACCAACCUUAUGGAGUCUAACUUGACCACCGGGGCAAAUAUUUCAAGAAAGUCCACACUUUCCUUUUGUGCAAACCCCUUUACAACUAGCCUUGCCCUAUACCUUGCCAAACUUCCAUCAAUCACCCACUUGCAACCAACCGCUUUUCUGUCCUUUGACAACUCUACCAAAUCCCAAGUCUUGUUCUUAUGAAUAGCCAUCAUUUCAUCUUCCAUGGCCUUCUUCCAAGAUAUGGAAUCAUCUCCUUACAUAGCUUCUUGGUAAGUGCUCGGUUUUUCGUUCAUAAGAAUUAAAGCAUAUAGUACUUCGGGAUCCACAUAGUCCUUAAGCCGCUCGGGUGGACGAACUACCCUUGUAGAUCUUCUUAUCAUGGAUGGUGCAACUUCUUCAUGAGAAUCACUUUGUUCACCAACUUGCUCUUCUUCAUCAUUGACUUUUUCAUUGAUACUUGUGGGUGCUUCUUCCGGCAUAUGGGGUUCACUAAAUGAUGGGAGAUAAGGUUGAAAAAAUUUCUUGGGUUUCAUUAUGAGAUUCUUCUCUUUCUUUGGUCUCAUUUCCUACACCUCUUGUCAACACGGAUGACUCAUCAAAAUGCACAUCUCGGCUUGUAAUUAUCUUUCGAGCACUUGAAUCCCAUAACCGGUAUCAUUUCACACCUUUGCUAUACCCAACAAAAAUGCAUUUAUUUUGAUUUUGGUUCAAGCUUAUUUCUUUGGCAACUAGGGAUUAAAAUAUAAGUAUCAUAACAAAAAAUCUUUAAAUCGGAAUGAUCACAAGGAGUUCGGACAAUACCUCUUGGGGUGUUUUCUCCCCCAAAGCCGCUUAAGGUAAUCGAUUGAUGAGAUAACAAGCCGUCAUCACGGCUUCGGCCCAUAGCUCUUGCUCCAAUCCGGCAUUGCUCAACAUGCUUCUUGCUCGCUCCAUCAAAGUGCAAUUUAUCUUUUCCGCAGCACCAUUUUGUUGGAGAGUGUAAACCGUGGUAAAAUGCUUCUUGAUUCCUUCAUCUUUACAAAUUUUGUAAACUUAUCGGAAUUGUACUCCUUCAAAUUGUCAAUGCGAAGUAUUUUACAAAAUUGGCGCCCCGUACUCUUCUCAACUUCGGUUUUAAAAUGCUUUACAAAAUUGGCGCCCCGUACUCUUCUCAACUUCGGUUUUAAAAUGCUUUAAGGCCAAAAAUGCAUCACUCUUUAAUUUAAGAGUUAACACCCGUACCUUCCUUGAGAAGUCAUCUAUAAAAGAAAUAAAAUACUAUGCACCACCAUAUGGCAAUAUAGGUGAGGGCCCCCAUAAAUCCGAGUGAAUAUAAUCAAGUAUUCCCUUACUUGUAUGGCUUCCGGCUUUGAAAAUUUGUAUAGACACAAUGUUAACAAAAUUCAGAUUUUCCAAAUUUUGUGAUAGGAAUUAGCGUUUUUUUCAUCAAAAUCUCCAUACCCUUUGCACUCAAGUGGCCCAACCUCCUAUACCAUAAGCUUAGUGGAAGAUCAUUACUCUUCACUAUCGAAUUUGCCGUAUAAUCAACAAUGGAGCUUCCCAAUACCUUAUACAAGUUCCCAACUCUAACACCCUUGAUCACAACAAGAGCACCCUUAGAUACUUUGAGAACUCCCCCUUGUUUGGUGAAUUUAUAGCCAUGAGAAUCCAAUAAAGAAAGAAAAAUUAAACUUUUCUUCAAGUCCGGCACAUGUCGAACAUGCUCAAGUGUGCGGAUACUUCCAUCAUACAUACUUAAUUUCAGCAUGCCAAUCCCAACCAUUCUAUUACUUGAAUUGUUUCCCAUCAACCCGGAGCCACCAUCACAUGGUUCAUAUGAACUAAACCAUGACUUGUGUGGACACAUAUGAUGUGUAGCACCACUAUCCAAAAUCCAAUUUUGAUGGAAUUCGGGAUUACAACCCACGACAUAAACCUCUUCUUCAAAAAACCGGAUGUAGAUUCCUCCACUUGAUUCACCUCAAUUUUGGACUCGUUAGUUUCCCUUGCUUUUUCGAACUUUUGUCAUUUUCUUUUUGUACAAUUUUUCUGCAUGUGUCCCUCUUCACCACAUCCCCAAGAAACAAACUUGUUUUCUCGGCCUUUAGACUUAGAUCAACCUUUCGACUUAGAUCUAGAAGAAUUUCAAGAGGAAUUACCUCUCUCAUUUGAACACUUCCGAUUCCAGUUCUCCAAUAGAUGCCUUUUUUCGGAGUUCAUAGGCAAGCAAAGUACUAGUCACCAUACUUAAGUCAAGUGAAUCUUAUUUAAUGCAACUUAAUGUUGUCACUAAAUUAUCAUAUGAUUCCGGUAAAGUACAUAACAAUAUUAUCGCCUUGUCCUCAGCUUUUAUUUUUUCACUAACACUAUCAAGUUCACAAAUAAUGUUAUUGAAAGUGUUCAAAUGAUCGGAAACUUUUGUCCCCUCUUUCAUCCUUAAACUAAAUAAUUUUCUCUUUAAUAGAAUACGGUUCGUAAGAGAUUUGUUUUGAUAAACACUUUCCAGUUUCUCCCACAAGCCCUUUGCCAUCUUCUCUCCCACUAUAUUGAAUAAAACUUUAUUUGCUAAGCACAAUCGAAUUGUAGCCAUAGCCUUAAGGUCCAGUUCCUCUCAAUCCUCAUUUCUCAUAGACUCUGGUUUCUUUUCCUUUUCGAGUAAUGUUUUGUAUAAUCCUUGUUGGACCAAAAGAUCAUGAACUUGAAUUUUUCAUAUCUCAAAAUCAUUUUGUCCAUCAAAUUUCUCCACCUCAAACCGAUUACUCGCCAUUCUAUAAAAUAUAUUGCAUAAAACCUACGGCUUUGAUACCACUUGUUGGAGAUCCGAAUACCCGAAACCCACAAUUUAACCGAUCAUUGAAUAUCACACACUCAAUACCAAAUAUGUAAAAUCGAUAAUCCAAUAAUAAGCUCAAGGAUCGUGUGCAACAAUUUAAGACAAUAAAUUAGAGAUGGAAAACAUGGUCAUGAGAGAAAAUUAGAGAGACAAACCAUAACACGAAUUUAAUGUGGUUCACCCCUUAGGGCUACGUCUACGGGCAAGCCGGCAAGUAUUCCACUAUCAAAAGAAGGAAUUUACAAGGGGAUACAAUGUUAUCUCAAAAGGAAAAAAUUGGUGAAAAAAACAUCACCAAGAAUACCUUCUUGUGAUUAUUCAAAAAUCAUGAUUUACCCCGCUUCACUUCAAAUGACCCAAGAACAUGAGCCAUACAUGCUCAUACUAUUUUUUCCAAAAAUAAGACAAGAAAAUCCUUUUUUACCUCUUUCCAUUUCUCAACAUAACCCAAGGAAGCCCUAGCCCCUCUUCUAGAGAGAGAGAGGAGUUCAAAACAAGAAGAAUUGUAUAACCCAAAAUCCCCUUUUGGCUUUUAUACAAGCCAGCUAAUUGUAGUGACAAAAAAGCCCCCAAACAAAUGGUAAAAGACAAAAGAACUUUUCUAUCACCAUUCAACACAGAGUUUUAAAUCUUUAUUUAUUUUUUGCUGCUAUUGCACAGUCUUUCAUUUGUUUUCAUAAUCUUCCAUUUCCAUUUCCUUAUGUGAGCUCCUUUUCCAUAUUGUCUUUCUUUUGAUCAUUCUUCUUUAUGUUGUCAGGGAGCCCAACGAUUUUUCUGGUUGUUGGUUCCAUGCUUUUUUUUUUGUUGCCAGGGUUUUUCUCAAAUUGAAUUGAGCCUAAUAUAGGUGUCCGCUGGGACUUAGACUGUUAUUCUUUAUAGUCAUACUGAAUGUCUCUUUAGCAUCAGACUUGGGAAGGAUUGAGCUUUUACAGGUACAGUUACAGUAUCUGGCUUUCAAACAAGUUUUACUACAUCUAGUGCAACGGGUACCAUUUGAUUCCUCUCUGGCCAGCCGAAGGAAGGUGUUUUUGUUGAAGCCAAAUCUCAGUCAAAAGGCUAUUAUGAAGUAACAUCAUCGGACUCCUUGGGGUUUUAUCGUCUUAGAGUACUUCUCCCCAACACCACCUAUAUGAUUAAGGUAGUGGCAAAAGAAGAUCCCGGGGGCAUUAGAAUCGAGCGUGCAUGUGCAUCUCCAGAUGGUGUUGCUAUCGAGGAAGUAACACCAGCUCCUGCAUUCCCUCUCAUGAUCUGGAUGGCUGUAAUUGCUCUCUUUAUUAGUAUGCCCAGCUGCUAUUAUAUCUUAUUCUCGUCUUGUCCUUUUAUAAUCGAUGUUUGGAUUAGACAUUAGUUGUUUAAUGGCCGUCAUACUCUACCACCACUUGCAGAUUGAAGGAUCUUUACCAGUGGGCAGCAAGACUAACACCUUCAGGAUCUUUAGCUGCUGCACCAAAGAAGUGCAAAAGCCGAUUAUUAGAAAGAGGACUUACUGAAAUAUUGCAAAUUGUUAUUUGGACUUUGAAGUCUGGUUGACCAGCAACGAGUUAAUUCUUUGCAUCUCAUGCAAGGCCUUUUCUGUUGGAGACUUCUAAUGUGGAAGCCUAUGGAUAAUCAUUUAUGGAACAAUCAAUAUUUUUGGUAUCAGUCAGGUCGUCUUUAAGAAGACUUGUCCAUCAUUUUCUUAUUUGUGGAGACUUAGUUUAUUUUCUCAUCUGUGGAGACUUAUUUGGGAAUGGUGUCCUACUGUUGAAUUCCAUUGCUAGAUUCUUCCUACAUAUUAGUAAGAACAUGGUUUGUAAUUGUGUGGCAAUGUUGGUUUCCCUUGUAAGUUUUUUUAUCCAUAUCGAUUGUUUAUUUGACUAUAAAUAUCUGGAACAAGCUUUUGAUUGGUCUUAUUCAGUGAGAAGA